ACUUGGCUCUCGCCCUCCGGCCGGGAAGCAUGGGGCUUCCCAGGCUGGUCUGCGCCUUCUUGCUCGCCGCCUGCUGCUGCUGUCCUCGCGUCGCGGCUCUGGGAGGAGUCAGGGGUCUGAGGCUCUGGGUUGGAGACCCCCUUUCCACCUGCCCUCCUUGUCCGAGAGCCAAGGUGUGCCCGGAGAGGCUGAGCAGCCUGCGCCUGAGCUGGUGGAGGUUGAAGUGGGCAGCACAGCCCUUCUGAAGUGCGGCCUCUCCCAGUCCCAAGGCGACCUCAGCCAUGUCGACUGGUUUUCUGUCCACAAGGAGAAGCGGACGCUCAUCUUCCGUGUGCGGCAGGGCCAGGGCCAGAGCGAACGUGGGGAGUACGAGCAGCGGCUCAGCCUCCAGGACAGAGGGGCUACUCUGGCCCUGACUCAAGUCACCCCCCACGACGAGCGCAUCUUCUUGUGCCAGGGCAAGCGCCCUCGGUCCCAGGAGUACCGCAUCCAGCUCCGCGUCUACAAAGCUCCGGAGGAGCCAAACAUCCAGGUCAACGCCCUGGGCAUCCCUGUGAACAGU
rnacentral:sRNA from 1 species